rnacentral:rRNA from 1 species
UACGUAGGCAGCAAGCGUUGUUCGGAAUUACUGGGCGUAAAGAGUGUGUAGGCGGUGUUCUAAGUUUGUCGUGAAAUCUCCCGGCUUAACUGGGAGGGUGCGGCGAAAACUGGAAUGCUAGAGGGUGGGAGAGGAAAGCGGAAUUCCUGGUGUAGCGGUGAAAUGCGUAGAUAUCAGGAGGAACACCUGCGGUGUAGACAGCUUUCUGGACCACUUCUGACGCUGAGACACGAAAGCGUGGGUAG